rnacentral:rRNA from 1 species
GAUGAACGCUGGCGGCGUGCCUAAUACAUGCAAGUCGAGCGAACAGAUGCUGCGCUUGCUCCUUUGACGUUAGCGGAGGACGGGUGUGUAACACGUGUAAACCCUACCUAUAUGUCUGAUAUAACUUGGGGACUCCGGCUCUAAUACCGGAUAAUAUAUUGUACCACAUGGUUCAUUAGUAAGAUACGGUUUUGCUGUCUCGUCUAGAUGGAUCCCGGCUGUAUUAGCUGGUUGUUACGGUAACGGCUUACCAAGGCAACGAUGCGUAGCCGACCUGAGAGGGUGAUAGGCCACCCGGGAGCUGAGACACGGUCAAGGGUCCUGCGAGAGGCAGCAGAAGGGUAUGUUACGCAAUAGGCGAAAGCAUUACGGAACAAGGGCGCGUGAGUGAUGAAGGUCUCGGGAGCGUAAAACUGUGUUAUGAGUGAAGAACAGAUGUGUAAGUAACUAUGCAGGUCGUGACGGUACCUAAUAAGAAAGCACCGGCUAACUACGUG